CGCAGGGAGAAUCAUGAAGAACGUCCUCGCGCCUCUCCUCAUUAUUCUGUCACUUCCCGACUGGAGUAUUCAAGACACAGUAGAACAGUUGGUCGGUGAAAUGACUUCCGAUGAGGAAAGUAAUGUCACCCUGAACUGCACCUUGCAAACAAACAAUGCACUCCCAAAUAUUUUCUGGUACAGACAGCGCCCCAGGCAGCCUCCGCAGUACCUGCUUCGGAUUAUCGCAGGAACACUGGACAGAAGUAGCGAACUAACCGACCGAUUUUCUUCUACCUUCGACAGAACAACAAAAUAUACCGAGCUGACGAUUCGCAAAGCCGUGCUCUCCGACUCCGCUGUGUACCUAUGCGCCAUGAACCCCACACUGCUGCAGAAUCUCACCGAACUCGAACAAAAACCCACCAUGCGAGAUUCCACGGGGCUCGCUAGAGAGCGAACUCACCCAAAUGAACAAGAAGACAGAGAAAAAAAAGGUGAAAUUCAAAGUUAA